CUCGCCUCACCAACGAGAGCUUGAGAUGUCGCGCCGUUUGCUCGUUCAUAAAGAUGGACCUGCGUAUGGCCGACUCAGCAUUGAAGGUGAGACUUCGCUCUUGACUCUCUCUCCCUCUUCCUCCCAACCUAUACUCCCCCAAAAACACCAGCUCUUUCCUGCCCUCAAAACUAGUUUACAUGUUUCGUCUGUUUCAACCUGUGCUCAGAGGACGUCGGCAUUGAUAUACACUGAGAAGCCACAACUGCCCCGGAGGAGCCACACCCAGCCCUGGGAGGAUGUGUUGCCUCAACGGGAGAGGACUGCAGAAAAGUAGGAGUGGCAAGAAGGCACAAUUGAUGUAAGUGUAAAUCACCAGUUCUGAUCAUCUGCCACUGUGACAACCUUUGAAAAUAACCGGCCAUCUCAUAGCAUGUACAGCGUCUAGAGAGGGAGUGGAUGGCAAAACUGGAGAAGAAAAGAGAAACAAAACAAAACAAAACAAAAAUAAAACCAAUUAAGACACCUGCAAGUCUUGAAACCGAGACCAACGUUGGCAAA
rnacentral:lncRNA from 1 species